rnacentral:rRNA from 1 species
AUUGAACGCUGGCGGCAGGCCUAACACAUGCAAGUCGAACGAGUGGCGGACGGGUGAGUAAUGUCUGGGAAACUGCACGAUGGAGGGGGAUAACUACUGGAAACGGUAGCUAAUACCGCAUACCAUCGGAUGUGCCCAGAUGGGAUUAGCUAGUAGGUGGGGUAAUGGCUCACCGAGGCGACGCUCCCUAGCUGGUCUGAGAGGAUGACCAUCAAAACUGGAACGGAGCAACGUUCCAGACUCCUAGGGGAGGCAGCAGUGGGGAAUAUCGCACAAUGGGCGCAAGCCUGAUGCAGCCAUGCCGCGUGUAUGAAGAAGGCCUUCGGGUGGUAAAGUACUUUCAGAGAGGAGGCGUUACUCGCAGAAGAAGCACCGGCUAACUCCGUGCCAGCAGCCGCGGUAAUAC